rnacentral:rRNA from 1 species
AUUGAACGCUGGCGGCAGGCCUAACACAUGCAAGUCGAGCGGAUGAAGGGAGCUUGCUCCUGGAUUCAGCGGCGGACGGGUGAGUAAUGCCCAGGAAUCUGCCUGGUAGUGGGGGAUAACGUCCGGAAACGGGCGCUAAUACCGCAUACGUCCUGAGGGAGAAAGUGGGGGAUCUUCGGACCUCACGCUAUCAGAUGAGCCUAGGUCGGAUUAGCUAGUUGGUGGGGUAAAGGCCUACCAAGGCGACGAUCCGUAACUGGUCUGAGAGGAUGAUCAGUCACACUGGAACUGAGACACGGUCCAGACUCCUACGGGAGGCAGCAGUGGGGAAUAUUGGACAAUGGGCGAAAGCCUGAUCCAGCCAUGCCGCGUGUGUGAAGAAGGUCUUCGGAUUGUAAAGCACUUUAAGUUGGGAGGAAGGGCAGUAAGUUAAUACCUUGCUGUUUUGACGUUACCAACAGAAUAAGCACCGGCUAACCUCGUG